GGUGCACGGUGCAUGGAGAUAGGGAAGAGAGAGUUGGGAAUCCCUGGGAUGUGCGCCCUGUAACGGGAAGGAGCGGGAGAAGACACUUAUUUCAGUUAGGAGGAGAGAAUGGCACAAGACUGCGAAGAGUUUGAAAGCUUGAGGGGUCAGUCAGGAUGCUGCAAGUAGCAGAAAACCCUGCAUCAAACUUGCUUUAAGCAAUCUCCAGUUCUUUCUAGUUCUCUUCUAGGUCAUCCUCUGCCCUGGCUUCAUUCUCACGCUGUAUUAGCUCUCCUUGGCUUGCAGAUGGCGUCUUCUCCCUCUGUCCCCACGUGGUCCUCCCUCUGUGUGUGUCUGUGUCCUCAUCUCUCCUUGUAAGGACACCAGUCACCUUGGAUUAGGGCCCGCCCUAGAGACCUUACUUUAACUUUAAUCAUCUCUGUAAAAACCCUAUUUCCAAACAGGGUCACAUUUUGAGGUUCUGGGGUUUGGAUUCCAGCAUAUCUUGUUAGGGGCAGGGUGGACACACUUCAACCUGCCCAGGGUCCCUUCAGGGAGAAGGGAGGCAGUCGCAUCUCUGGAGCAUGGGCUGAGUGUGUUCUCAUGUCACUUCUGCAGUAAGUGGGCUUUCCGUCCAGUCUGUCUGUUGUAAAUCAGAUGUGCAAGUGAGGGCAGCUGCCAGAACUUCCAUAGGAGUUGGCUGCCGUGUUCACAAUCCAGGUGGUGACAGAAGGCUGCAGGUACUAGAGGGAAGGGCAGGUCCCACCACUGCAGGAGAGGUAGCUGGGAACAGGGGUGGGAGUGUGGGUCCCCAUCAUAGGGGAGGAGGAGGGAAAGGAAAGGGGGAAAAGGGAGACGGAGAGGGGAAGGGGAGCAGGGAUGGUGGAAGAGAGGGGAAGUGGGGAGAAACAGGAGGAAGAGAUGAGGAAGGGAGAGGGAAGGGAGGGGAGGAAGAGUUCAUUGCUGCAGGUUGGCUGGGCUGAGUGUUUUACAGAUGCCGUGGCUGAAUCCUGACAGCCCCCUGAGAAGUUGGCUUCUCUGUGGCUUAUAGCUAAGCUAAGCCACCUGCUGGAGCUGAGAUUUGGACCCCAGCAGCCUGAAUCCCAGCCCCUGCACACUGCCCCUCUGGGUAGGGGACUUCCAGCAU
rnacentral:lncRNA from 10 species